rnacentral:rRNA from 1 species
GACGAACGCUGGCGGCGUGCCUAAUACAUGCAAGUAGAACGCUGAAGGAGGAGCUUGCUUCUCUGGAUGAGUUGCGAACGGGUGAGUAACGCGUAGGUAACCUGCCUGGUAGCGGGGGAUAACUAUUGGGAACGAUAGCUAAUACCGCAUAAGAGUAGAUGUUGCAUGACAUUUGCUUAAAAGGUGCAAUUGCAUCACUACCAGAUGGACCUGCGUUGUAUUAGCUAGUUGGUGAGGUAACGGCUCACCAAGGCAACGAUACAUAGCCGACCUGAGAGGGUGAUCGGCCACACUGGGACUGAGACACGGCCCAGACUCCUACGGGAGGCAGCAGUAGGGAAUCUUCGGCAAUGGACGGAAGUCUGACCGAGCAACGCCGCGUGAGUGAAGAAGGUUUUCGGAUCGUAAAGCUUUGUUGUAAGAGAAGAACGAGUGUGAGAGUGGAAAGUUCACACUGUGACGGUAUCUUACCAGAAAGGGACGGCUAACUACGUGCCAGCAGCCGCGGUAAUACGUAGGUCCCGAGCGUUGUCCGGAUUUAUUGGGCGUAAAGCGAGCGCAGGCGGUUAGAUAAGUCUGAAGUUAAAGGCUGUGGCUUAACCAUAGUACGCUUUGGAAACUGUUUAACUUGAGUGCAAGAGGGGAGAGUGGAAUUCCAUGUGUAGCGGUGAAAUGCGUAGAUAUAUGGAGGAACACCGGUGGCGAAAGCGGCUCUCUGGCUUGUAACUGACGCUGAGGCUCGAAAGCGUGGGGAGCAAACAGG